rnacentral:piRNA from 1 species
UCCGUUUUGUGUAUUUAUCUGCCACGGGA